rnacentral:rRNA from 1 species
UACAGAGGUCUCAAGCGUUGUGCGGAUUCAUUGGGCGUAAAGGGUGCGUAGGCGGCGCGGUAAGUCGGGUGUGAAAUCUUGGAGCUUAACUCCGAAACUGCAUUCGAUACUGCCGUGCUUGAGGACUGGAGAGGAGACUGGAAUUUACGGUGUAGCGGUGAAAUGCGUAGAUAUCGUAAGGAAGACCAGUGGCGAAGGCGGGUCUCUGGACAGUUCCUGACGCUGAGGCACGAAGGUCAGGGGAGCAAACGGG